GACGAACGCUGGCGGCGUGCUUAACACAUGCAAGUCGAGCGGUAAGGUCCUUUCGGGGGUACACGAGCGGCGAACGGGUGAGUAACACGUGGGUGACCUGCCCUUAGCUCUGGGAUAAGCCUGGGAAACUGGGUCUAAUACCGGAUAUGACUCCAUGACGCAUGUUGUGGGGUGGAAAGCCUUGUGCGGCUAGGGAUGGGCCCGCGGCCUAUCAGCUUGUUGGUGGGGUGAUGGCCUACCAAGGCGACGACGGGUAGCCGGCCUGAGAGGGCGACCGGCCACACUGGGACUGAGACACGGCCCAGACUCCUACGGGAGGCAGCAGUGGGGAAUCUUGCGCAAUGGGCGAAAGCCUGACGCAGCGACGCCGCGUGGGGAUGACGGCCU
rnacentral:rRNA from 1 species